rnacentral:rRNA from 1 species
GACGAACGCUGGCGGCGUGCUUAACACAUGCAAGUCGAACGGAAAGGCCCUGCUUUUGUGGGGUGCUCGAGUGGCGAACGGGUGAGUAACACGUGAGUAACCUGCCCUUGACUUUGGGAUAACUUCAGGAAACUGGGGCUAAUACCUGAUAGGAGCUCCUGCUGCAUGGUGGGGGUUGGAACGUUUCGGCGGUUGGGGUUGGACUCGCGGCUUAUCAGCUUGUUGGUGGGGUAGUGGCUUACCAAGGCUUUGACGGGUAGCCGGACUGAGAGGGUGACCGGGCACAGUGGGACUGAGAUACGGCCCAGACUCCUACGGGAGGAAGCAGUGGGGAAUAUUGCACAAUGGGCGGAAGCCGGAUGCAGCAACGCCGCGUGCGGGAUGACGGCCUUCGGGUUGUAAACCGCUUUAGCCUGUGACGAAGCGUGAGUGACGGUAAUGGGUAAAGAAGCACCGGCUAACUACGU